rfam:Salmo salar isolate Sally breed double haploid chromosome ssa06, whole genome shotgun sequence.
AAUGCACCAAUUUGUAAGUCGCUCUGGAUAAGAGCGUCUGCUAAAUGGCGUAAA